UCACUAUUGAAGUCGUCUAACGUGGCCAUCACUUUAAUUUUUUCUCUUGAAGUUCUCAUCUUCCCUUCUUGCAGUAAGCAAGUUUACUCUCUAGAAUAGCUGUCUACCUCCUCCAUGUCAUUCAAGUAAAGGAAGGAACACUGCUUGAACUCUAAUGGCAGAGAUAUCGGUUCUGCAGUUGUCCAAGAGACAGUUAGCCAAAUCCUAUCUGGUCUUGUUCAAAAAUAUGAGAUGAAAGAGGAAUUAAUUUUCAGCAGAAACUUGGAGAGGCUAGAGAUGGCACACAUCAAGAUGGAGGCUGCUCUUGAAACAUCAGAAAAGUGGCAGAUUACUGAUGGAUCCUUGUUGUGUUGGCGUAGGAAGCUCAAGCGUGCUGCUCAAGAGUGUGAUGACAUGCUGCACAAAUGCAAGCUGAGAAUCCUAGAAAAGGAACAGAUGGAACAGGAGGAAAGAAACUACAUCAUAAAAUCAUUCGGGGAAACAAAUAUCCUUCCUGUCAACUAUUGUUGGAGCCCAUCCGUACUUCAAUGGGUGGAACAAAUGUUGUCUUGACAUUUGUGAGGAAUGUUGAGUACUCUAUCCUGCUUGUGAUGAGUGAAUUGUCAACCGUGCGGUGUGAUCGUGCGCUUGAUCUUUGGAUUGCAGGUACACGGGCGUCGAGUGUCGACGGGGAGCUGCC